rnacentral:rRNA from 1 species
GGGGAAUAUUGGACAAUGGGCGGAAGCCUGAUCCAGCAACGCCGCGUGAGGGAUGACUGCCUUCGGGUUGUAAACCUCUUUCAGUACCGACGAAGCGAAAGUGACGGUAGGUACAGAAGAAGCACCGGCCAACUACGUGCCAGCAGCCGCGGUAAUACGUAGGGUGCGAGCGUUGUCCGGAAUUAUUGGGCGUAAAGGGCUCGUAGGCGGUUUGUCGCGUCGGGAGUGAAAACCUCAUGCUUAACAUGUGGCUUGCCUUCGAUACGGGCAGACUAGAGGUAUGCAGGGGAGAACGGAAUUCCUGGUGUAGCGGUGAAAUGCGCAGAUAUCAGGAGGAACACCGGUGGCGAAGGCGGGUCUCUGGGCAUUACCUGACGCUGAGGAGCGAAAGUGUGGGGAGCGAAC